rnacentral:lncRNA from 10 species
AUAGAAACCUAAGAAAAAUGAGAAGUUGAUCAUUCAAACAGAAGAUAUUGAGAAAACACACACAUACACAGCAAUGAACUCUGCAGGGCACACAUUCUAGUAUAAUUUGGAGGAAAGCAUCGGAUCAUCCCCACUGAGGCACAUUCUACAGAAUACCUAGCCUGUACUCUGAGAACUGCUGCAACCAAAAAGAACCUAAGGAGACAUGUUGGCUAAGAGUAAUGAUUAUCCUGAAUGGGACACUGGAACAGUAAAAGGUCAGUAGAUCAAAACUAAGGAAAUCUGAAUAAAGCAUAGACUUUCGUUAAUGGUAUAAAUAUCAGUUCAUUAAUUAUAACAAAUUUUCCAUACUAAUUUAAGAUGUCAACAACAGGGGAAACUAGAUGUUAAGUACAUAGGAACUCUCUGUACUAUCCUUGCAACUUUUCUGUAAACCUAACACAAUUUUAAAAUGAUAAUUUGAUUAAAAUAAAUUAAUGGUGAUAUGUUGAAAUUUUUACCUCUAAAACUAGCAUCUCCAGUGUCUCCAUUUUUAUUCAAAAUUAUAUUAGUAGCCCUAGCCAGUGAAAUAAGUUAUGAGAAAGGAAUAAAAUAAGGAUAGAAAAGUUUUUUUUAAAAUAAUGUAUACAUAGAAAAUGUAAUUCUAUAAAUAAACCUUUAGAAUUAUCAGCGUCAUUGAAUCAAUUCAUUAUACACAAAUUAAUUUAAUUUUAAUUUUACAUACCAGCUACAGAAAUUUUAAGACGUCUCAAAAUUAUUGAAAUAUAAUAAGACCUACAUAAAUGAUAGAUAUACCAUGUCAAUAUUUUUGAAGACUUGAUGUUGUAUAAUUUCCAAUUCUUCUCAAAGUGAUCUAUAGAUUCAAUGUAAUGACAACAAAAGUCCCAGCAGGUGUGUUUCUGAAAAUUGAGAUGCUGAGACUAAAAUUGUAUCGAAAUAUAAAGGAACCAGAAUGGUUAAGGGAAACUUGAAGAAUUACAGAAUGAGAGAAUUUGAUUUACCAGAAAAGACUUAUACCAUAGUUACAAUCACUAAAUAAGAAUUGGUACAAGUAAAGACCACAGACUAAUGAAGGCAAGAGACAGCAGAAACAGAUCCAUUCUUACAGGACUACUUGAAUUACGACAAAGGUGGCACGUUGGAGGAAUAGAAAAAAGAUGGGCUUUUCAGUGAAUCGUCCUGAGUCAAUAGUCCUGAGUCAAUCAGUUGUCCCUCUGGGAACCAAAUGAAACCUGACGUUUGCUUUUCGUAUUUCCUUUGGGGUAGGCCUGCUGGUUAGUGUGGUUUAUAUUUAUCAUUCAACGAUUAUCGUUAAAUACCAUUUUCCUAUUUUAUUUUUCAUGAACCGUAUAACUAUCUCAAAUUAUCUCAUUUAUUUGAUUGCUUUUAAAUUAUUUUUCCUGUUCCCACUACAAUAUAAAGUCCCUGAGAACAAGAAUUUAUCUAUGCUGCUAAACAUUGUAGCUAAAAUAUCUAAAAUAUUUCAAGGUAUAAUUAUAAGCUUUUGAAUAAAUAAAUGAAUAUACAAAUCUGCCAGGAAAAUGAGGAGUGAAAAUAACAUAAUCCUUUGAUCUAGCGCAGGAAGGAUGAGGACAGUUUAUUUGAGAGCCUGGGAUGGGGUAAUGGUUUGGAACAUUCUAGAUAAAAGGCAUAGCAAAUGCUGAAACAUAAUAAAUGUGUAGGGGAACAUCACAGGGUGACUUUCUGAGUGGGCUAUUUUUUUAUGUAGUAAAUGGAAAUGUCUGUUUAAAAUAAAGG